rnacentral:rRNA from 1 species
GUCUUUUUGAAAAUAAAAAAAGUCAAGCCUGCCCACUGAUGUUUUAAGGGCCGCGGUAUUUUGACCGUGCGAAGGUAGCGUAAUCAUUAGUUUUUUAAUUGGAAUCUUGUAUGAAUGGUUAGACAAGGGAAAAUCUGUCUCUUUAUUAAAAAUUUAAUUUAACUUUUAAGUGAAAAGGCUUAAAUUAAUUAAAGGGACGAUAAGACCCUAUAAAGCUUAAUAUAAAAUACUAUUUUAUUGAGUUAGAUUUAUAAAGAUUUUAUAGUAUGAAUUAUUUUAUUGGGGCGAUAAGAGUAAAAUGUUUUGUAACUGCUUAACAACAAUACACUUUAAUUGUAAUAAUUAGAUAAAAGAUCCUGAGUACGGAUUAAAAGUUUAAGUUACUUUAGGGAUAACAGCGUUAUUUUUUUUGAGAGUACAUAUCGAAAAAAGAGUUUGCGACCUCGAUGUUGAAUUAAAAUUUCUUUAUAGAAGCAGAAACUAUAAAAGUGGGUCUGUUCGACCUUUAAAAUUUUACAUGAUUUGAGUUCAAACCGGCGUGAG